rnacentral:lncRNA from 1 species
UGCCCAGGUGUGUCGCAGGUGUGUUCCAGGUGAGUUUUUAUCCUCCCAGGUGAUGUUCAGGUGUCCCCAGGUGUGUCCAGGUGUGUCCCCAGGUGAGUUUUUAUCCCCCCAGGUGACGUUCAGGUGUGCCCAGGUGAGGUUCAGGUGUCCCCAGGUGUGCCCA